UACGGGGGGGGCAAGCGUUGUUCGGAAUUACUGGGCGUAAAGGGCUCGUAGGCGGCCAACUAAGUCAGACGUGAAAUCCCUCGGCUUAACCGGGGAACUGCAUCUGAUACUGGAUGGCUUGAGUUCGGGAGAGGGAUGCGGAAUUCCAGGUGUAGCGGUGAAAUGCGUAGAUAUCUGGAGGAAUACCGGUGGCGAAGGCGGCAUCCUGGACCGAGAUUGACACUGAGGAGCGAAAGCCAGGGGAGCAAACGGG
rnacentral:rRNA from 1 species